GCCAAAGUUGGGAACUGUCCUCUCAUCAUUUGCAAAAGCAAAGAUUAGGCUCAGAAGUUAAGAUUUCUUUUAUGGAGACUGAAUGGACGUUGAGGGUUCAGUAAGAGGGGCUCUUUGAAGUGAGCUUAAGAAACAAAGUCUUUGAUGUUUUCUUCACUAGGAACUAAGGUUGUUUCCUUCUAAUGGUCAAGAAAAUCUUAACAUUUGGAUGCUGAAGAUUAAAGCAA
rnacentral:lncRNA from 1 species